CUGCUAGAGGGGAAGAGAAGAAUGGAAAGUUGCACCAGCUCUUAACAGCCUCAACUCAGAGAUGACACGUGUCUCUUCUGCUCCCAAUCCCUCAGCCAGAAUUAGUAAUGUGGGCUGCUGAAAAAUGUCAGGAGUGCAUGGAUAUUUGGAGAGUGCUGUUUCUGCCACCUUAUUUCAUACCAAACCACAGAAACAAAAUUGGUGACUCUUCUUAGUAAAUUAGAACAGAGUAUCAAAAGGAUUAUUAGGAUCAGAGCAUCUGGAAUGACCAAUGAGUCCAUUAAGUCAGGAGAAUUAGAACAGAACCAUUAUGAGGAAUCAUAAUGGUCAGAAUGGGAACAAACUGACCAAAGGGCUUACUGGAUGAAGCUAACCAGAUAGAGUGAGACCAGAGAGAAGAAGUGGCCCAGGAAGUCAUAACCUCCUGUUCCUGACUUGGACUUUCUGUAAGUGUGAUUCCCAACCUGGUUACUCAUCAGAAUCAUACAAGGAACAUUAGAAAAGCCUUUGUCCUAUGUCUGGAGACUUCUUGGAAGCUGGAGCACACAAAUAGCUACAGCAAACUUGAGGAAUGGGCAUGAAUAGACUGGCUUCGGGGAACCUGCCAGCUUGGCCGUGUGGCCAAGGUAAUAGGCAAGCCAAGGCAGAGCUAGAGCUCAGAGCUGGAGGGGAAAUUAAAGCAGCAAAUGUAGAAACAUUAAGCCUGAAGAGGCGACGACGUUGAAUUCUAAAAUGCAGGCCAAAGCUCAGACUGCAAGCUGUCUGGCUGCUCCGGGUGUGCCCAGAAGUCAAAGUCCAGCAGGGGCAAAGGUGGAGGUGUGGUCCUGCACGUGGGGUGUUGGGGGGAUGUGGAAGAGGAGGUGCUUUAAGAUCCAGAGAUUCCAGCUGCCCUGGUGCACCCUUGGAAGAAUAAAAGGCUAGGAACUGGACAAGUCAGGCUCGAGUCCAAGCUGCCUGAGGAAUCGGGGAAAGAAUGGAGCUCAGAGUGGGAGGUCAGGGCAGUAUUUAAAAAUCCAGGAUAGCAGCAAAGCUGGCGGUGGCCCCUGACUCUGGUAAGGGCAGCCUGCAGCACCAUGCCAAGGGGGGCCUGACUGAUCAUGCCCUGCAUUUGCAAACAAGGAUUAGUAGGGUAUGAGUAGGAUUCUGCUGGUGCCUGGGAAGGCAGUGCCAUCUACAACUUUACAAAGUUUUAACAAAGGCCUGAAGGACACAACCUUCCCCAAAGUCCUGACGUCGCUGUUUGCUGGCAACAAAUAGAGUCAAAAGAAGAGAGGCACAGAAUGUGCCAGGGGUGUGCUGCGUACAGCCCCGAUGACCACAAGGCCUUCUUGGGUCAAGUUCUGCCAUCUCUGGUUAAGAUGGGCUCACCCUCUAGGACCCUGAUUGAGUCCUCGGACCACCAAGAGUGCCCCACCAAGAGCCUCCCUCUUCUGGUGACUCGUGCCUGCUUCCCGUGGAGAGCUCCAGAAGGGAGGAAACUGUGAGGAGGUGGAGAACGUGGCAGGGAUCCUAACUUUCUUACUGAAGGAAGUUCUUCACAAGUACCCAUCUGCCUUCAGGGAAGAAAACAUAACUCAUUUUGGUCUUUCAAAUUCAGUUCUCAAAACCAAAUCCUGUUGUCAGCAAUCUGUGUCCCAACGCCUUCUUCAGCAACAGCAUUUUCCCUGUGGAAUUAGUUUCCAAUGUUCUUUCUUAAAUAAACCACUGAAGAUUAAAAGGAAUCCAGAUACCCACCA
rnacentral:lncRNA from 1 species